rnacentral:rRNA from 1 species
UACGUAGGCAGCGAGCGUUGUUCGGAGUUACUGGGCGUAAAGCGUGCGUAGGCGGUGCUCCAAGUCUGUUGUGAAAUCUCCCGGCUUAACUGGGAGGGUGCGGUGGAAACUGGGGUGCUGGAGUGCGGGAGAGGUAAGCGGAAUUCCCGGUGUAGCGGUGAAAUGCGUAGAUAUCUGGAGGAACACCAAUGGCGAAGGCAACUUCCUGGGGCAAUACUGACACUGAUGUGCGAAAGCGUGGGGAGCAAACAGG